rnacentral:lncRNA from 7 species
AUCAUUAAUGUUCGAAGAGACCAUUAGGAUCAUCAAGCCCAACCACAGGUCCCUCAGAUGACUGCAUAUAGCAAGUCUCCCCAAAAUACAGGUUUUCACCCCAACAUAGAGUACGAAGCAUCAGGCCUUCCACCAGGACAGACAUCCUAUUUGUAAACACUGCUUUAUUGUAUCUUACUCUCCUCCAUAAUGCUUUUCACUCCAGCAUGGAUGAACCUUCAUGGGAGUUUUUCCAGUGUCACCCUUAAUAAUGACAUCAUUCUCUUUUUACCAAGACACUUUGCUAGACUGGAAGACAACAGUUUCGUAUCAGUCCCUCAAGACAAGCCAGUAAUCAUCCAACAGACCAUCUCAUCUUCACUGACCAUUCCUGUGAUGGGAGUUGCUCACGUCAGAGGAGCAUUAAAGCCACCUGGUGCACAGCAGUUCAUAUGCACACCGCUGAGGCACACCACCCUGGAAUGAUUCCUUUCCUCUAAGCCCGUCUAGCCAGCAUGUCAUUAUUAUUUUUGAGUGAUCAUGUGUUUUGAGAUCAAAGGACUUAAAAUAAAGCAAUAGCUGUGUU